GAUAAGGAGCUUGCUCCUUUGACGAUAGCGGCGGACGGGUGAGUAACACGUGGGUAACCUACCUAUAAGACUGGGACAACUUCGGGAAACCGGAGCUAAUACCGGAUAAUAUGUUGAACCGCAUGGUUCAAUAGUGAAAGAUGGUUUUGCUAUCACUUAUAGAUGGACCCGCGCCGUAUUAGCUAGUUGGUGAGGUAACGGCUCACCAAGGCAACGAUACGUAGCCGACCUGAGAGGGUGAUCGGCCACACUGGAACUGAGACACGGUCCAGACUCCUACGGGAGGCAGCAGUAGGGAAUCUUCCGCAAUGGGCGAAAGCCUGACGGAGCAACGCCGCGUGAGUGAUGAAGGUCUUAGGAUCGUAAAACUCUGUUAUUAGGGAAGAACAAACGUGUAAGUAACUGUGCACGUCUUGACGGUACCUAAUCAGAAAGCCACGGCUAACUACGUGCCAGCAGCCGCGGUAAUACGUAGGUGGCAAGCGUUAUCCGGAAUUAUUGGGCGUAAAGCGCGCGUAGGCGGUUUUUUAAGUCUGAUGUGAAAGCCCACGGCUCAACCGUGGAGGGUCAUUGGAAACUGGAAAACUUGAGUGCAGAAGAGGAAAGUGGAAUUCCAUGUGUAGCGCUGAAAUGCGCAGAGAUAUGGAGGAACACCAGUGGCGAAGGCGACUUUCUGGUCUGUAACUGACGCUGAUGUGCGAAAGCGUGGGGAUCAAACAGGAUUAGAUACCCUGGUAGUCCACGCCGUAAACGAUGAGUGCUAAGUGUU
rnacentral:rRNA from 1 species